GCCCUGGCUCCAUGGCUCACCUCUUGCCAUGGAAUUAAUGGAAUCCUCUUGCCACCAAGUUGGGAGAGACCCCCUUCUUUCGGCAUUGAACGGCCACAUGCUCAGAGCGAUGGCGGCUGUGUCCAGCUCAGCUUCAGCCCCCCCCCCUCGGGCCCCCUUCUAGAACCCACCGCUCUCCACUGACUCACCUGCCCCCCCCUUCAAACUCCCUUUCCCCAUGGAAUUAACUUACCACAAUCUCCAAUGUUUCUUUCAGUGGCACACCAGCCUCCUUCAUGGUUUGCCGUCUCAGCAACCUUUUAUGUCCUAGGAGACAGAAAGGAAAAUAAAAAAGGAAGAGGUUACAUGGCUCCAUGUAAAGGGAAUCCUCCUGCUGCCAAGUUGCACAUGCUCAGAGUGAUGGCGGCUGUGUCCAGCUCAGCUUCAGCCCCCCCCCUCGGGCCCCCUUCUAGAACCCACCGCUCUCAACCGACUCUCACCUGCCCCCGCCCCCGUUCAAACUCCCUUUCCAAGCCUCCUUCCAUCUUCCGUCUCCACCAGAAUUCCACUCUCUCUCUUCCCCCUCCCUCCCUGCUUGACAUUCCCUUUGGAAUUGUAAUAGCAUCACCUCACAAUAAUAAUAUUGCCACUCAUCUCCUCUAGGCCUCCUACCUGGAGAAUCCAUCUUCUCUACAGGUCUCUCACUGUCAUCUGACAGGCAUCCCCCUUGCAGGGCAUUAUCAGGCUUGCUUGCAAAGCAGCACUUUGUGACAUCAGCUGGCAAACGGGCCAGGCUGCUGGGUUGUCCGGCAGCUGAAUGAAGAAAAAUAAAACCAGACUUGCGGAGGCAAGGGAGGGCUGCUGUGGGGUCGCCGACCCGCAGGAGAGGUACUCCUCCUUGUUCACCUGGAAACGCAUGCAAACAGAUAACUUACAAGAUAAAUACUAAACCAAAAGCAACCUAAGAGAUUUUUUUUUAAAAUGACUGGAUAAAGCACUCAUUCAAUUGUAUCACCACUUGAUUGUAUUUGUGUUUACCUCCUGCCCUUCCAAGCCACUAUAGUUGCCCUACGAGCCCUGCUGGGCACCUCUCAGAAUCUGAACUCGCCCCGCACCCUUCCUGCUUCCUCCUCCAGCAUCCUUCUUGCUGUUGCAGCACACAUUCAGGGCUCCCGCCUCCUCCUAGACUACAUUCAGAGAUGAAAAAGCAACAGAGCGUAAGAUCCUCCUUUUGCUGCAAAAUAACUCUCUAUGAAUACAGAUUCAAGUCCCAGAAAGUGCCUGCAAAAACAAAUUGCUUUUUCCUUUGGAAAUAAAAACAAAACAAAACUACACAAUAUUUUAAGAAAGGAAGAGGAUUCACUCCAGGCUCACAGGCUCCACUGAGAGGCCCUAUUUCAUGGAUGCUUUUGUGGAGAUUCCUGCAUUGCAGGAGGGUUGGACUAGUUGACCCUUCCAAUUCUAUGAUUCUGUGUAGUUCCCGCUACAUAUAAAAUGGUUUGGUAUUUUUACAGGAGAAAUCGGAUCAGUUGUAGAAGGGUUAGGCCAGAGACCGAGGGCCCAAACUGCAACCCAAAACCCACUUAUUUCUCGCAAAGUGCCAAAGUGGCAGUUUAACCUGUAUAUCAGUUUUUCUGUGUGUUUCACGCUUCUGUAUGACUUCUGUUGUGAUAAAUAAUCCUUCAUAAAAGUUAUUGCCUUACAUUCUUCAUUAAAAUUAUCUUGCCAUUGAUAUAUAAUUUUAUGGUAUAAGGCAGUGCUUUUUUUCUAAAAAAUGUUUAGGGGUACUCUCAUUUUGACACAAGAAAAUCACCACGGGGGGGGGGGGAUACAGUUCAAUGCGCCGCCACGACCACCCCAGCCUGCUCCGGCUUGCAGGGAAGUAGGAGUGGGAUGGAGUUGCAACCUUUUUGAGCCAUGGGCCGGUCCACUGUCCCUAGGCCUUGUGGUGGGCCGGACUAUUGGGGGGGGGGGGAAUUAAUGAAUUCCUAUGCACACUGCACAAUUGUAUUUGUAGUUGACUUUGAACAGACUUUUAAGUCUGAUUUUUGUAAAUAAUAGACAAAAUGAUAAACACUGUAAUCACUCAAAUGCUUGAUAUUGCCAGCUCUGCUUCAAAAACAUCACGGUUUUCACCUCUCCCCUUUUAAAAACAAAGAGCAAAGCUGGGCUGAAUUUCAACUCAUCACAUGCUUGCAGACACAUGGCCCUCCACACAGCCACAAAUUGGGAGAGUUGAAAGGGACCCUGGGGUCAUCUAGUCCAACCCUAAAAUACAGGGUUCAUAGCAAGAUUUGUACUACCAGAGAGACACACACAUACUUAUGUACACAGACACAACUGGGGAAGAGACCACAAGCCAUGCUCCUAUCAUGUAUCAUGUACUAAUGAAGAGGAAAAUAAAAGUACCCAACUUUAUACAGAACCCUUUUAGCAGAUCUUGAAGCUAGUUUGAGUGAGAGUUUACUUCCUUAGACUAAAGAGUGCAAGUUCCUAGAGAAAUGAUCUUUAAAGGAAGAUUGAAGUGAACAUUUUUCCUAAUAUAGGGAGAGGAUCUCUUAUAAAGCAUAGUUAAAACAGCCAUAGAUUUGAUUUAAAAGGAAUUCAAAAGUGAACAAUUUUUCCUAAACUUGCAGAGGAAUACAGUGCCUAAUCUAUGCCCCCCCCCUGCAGUUUCCUUUAAAGGAAGCUUACUCGGGAGUAAAUUUACCUAGCACAGAAGUAAGGAGAAGGGAAAAAACCCUGAAAGAGACAGAAUGAAACAAGGGGGGGGGCAUUUUCUAAGAAAAGAGGCCAGGAAGUCUUAUAGAGACUCAUAUCAGGAGCCUUACAAUAACUUCUGUCCAACCAAAUCAAAGUUAAAACUGGACUCAGAUAUUUUUCUUAGAAGGAACACCAUACUUUCAUAGGCAUAUGCUUAAUGAAAUACAUACACUGCAUUUUAGCUUGAGAGAGCAUUGUGCUCAACUAGGCUUUUGCAGCAGAAACAUUAGGUUAACUUCGCAGCACAUACUGAAAUAGACUGGAACACGGAUGUAGACUCACAAACUCAAAAGUUGCAGCAAAAUCACCCUCCUCACUUAAACUAUAGAGGGAAGAGGUGGGGUAAUUCUCCUUUCAGAACACAAGUAGCACGUAUACAGGAUUUUACCACUUGGAAGGAAAACUCUCUUUUAGAGCCUCUCUCAAAUAACAAACAUUUGCACACUUCAUUCUCCAUUUUGUCUUGUUUAAGAUUGAUAAGGCUCAACAUGGCUUCCUUAGAUUUAGAAUUUGGAGCAAGCUUGCAUUUUUAUUUUAGAUGGCACAUUUAAGAUAAGCAGCUGCUGGAUGUUACCUAAGUACAAUUUAAACACAGGAAAAACGUUUCUUAAACACAAAUUAAAGGGGACUGUCAGAGUCCAGGCGGGAAGUAAGCACCAAUUGGGCUUCUUUCAUGCCAGGGGCCUGAGGACUAUUUUUCUUUUGAUUGAGGUGCACCCAUUUUAAGAAUUUUAAUAGCGCCAGCUUUUACUUUUAUACUGCAGUCAGGGUUUUAUCCCCACUUUUCAGGAAACACAAUAAAUAACCCACAGUAGACUCAAUUUGGACAACUCCAAGAAUUAGUACUGUGAUACACCGCCGUUCGUCUGGCCUGACUUACUAGGCUGGUACAGCUGUUGGCCUUUCCUGGCUACUAAGCUAACAGUGCGGUCAGCGAUCUCAACCCCCCCCAUGGUCAUUUCUCAGCCAGGGAGCCCACAGCAACCUCCUGCCUCUUACAAUCUAACCUGAGAGUUCCCUACUGGACGCUUGCGUAGCGCAGUGCCAGAUUGGGACUCAGAAAUGACAAAGAAGGAAAGGAAUCAGGUGCCCUUGCGUUCUCUGCUCACAGGUCAUCUCUAACAAAGAUCGCCAUGGCAGAGGUGCGGCUGCACCUGGGAGUUAUAGUUUCAGUGCAGAAGAAAAAGCACGACCUUUUUCUGGACACCCACCGAGAGACUAGGUCGGCAAACAGAAUUACCUGAAAGAAGUGACUGUAGAAGGGAAAUGAAAGAAGUCACACACAACCUUUGCCUGGGCAUACUCCGAAGGGCU